UCUAGUGGGUCUGCCCCCUCACCAGCACUUCUUAUUUUUUUUAGUUGAGCCAUUACAAGGAUAGUGGUAGCUCAUUUUGUUUUUAAUUUGUACUUCCCUAUUUCCUAAUGAUAUUAAGUAUCAUUUAGAUGAUGUGCUUGCUUUACAUCCUUCUAUAUUUUUUGGUAAAAUUCCUUUUCAAGUCUUUUACCCAUUUCUUAUAAUUCUAUUCUUAUUUGCUUUUGAGAGUUCUUAAUAUAAUUUGGAUAUAAGCCCUCUAUCAAUGGCUUGCAAAUACUUCCUCUACUUUACGGCUUGUCUUUUCACUAUUUAACCUUGUCUUUUGAAAAGCUGAUGUUUUAAGUUUUGAUGACGUCCAAUCUAUCAAUCUGUUCUUUAGUGGAUCAUUUUUAUGAUCAAGUUGCAUUUAAUUUUUAUAUAAGGCAAGAUGCAUGAGUGAAGGUUCCUUAUUGUUUUGCUUAUGGAUAUCCAAUUUUUCUAGCACCAUUUGUUGGAAAGACUAUUCUUUAUUCAUUGAAUCUCCUUGCAUGUUUACUGAAAAUCAAUUGAACAUGCAGUUGAGCUUUGAACAAUAUGGGUUUGAACUUGGGCGCAUUCACGUAUAGUCAGAUCCCCCCACCCAGCCCUGCACAAAGCUUUAUUGUUUCCAGUUGGUCCACAGCUGUUAAGAAGACUCCAAAGUGGUUAAACAGCGGCCUAGUAGCUGAAGGGAGAGAUUCAGGCAGCAGUCCUGACAUCAGGGGGAUGCCUGAGGGGAUUCUCAACAGACUCUGGGUUCUGGAGGCUCCUACUCCCGCUUGAGAGUGAGCCUAACUUGCCCAGCCUAGUCUGGGGGCCAGCCUGCCUAAUUCGUCACGUGGUCGCCAUCUUCCUGGUGAGUUUCACCUGUUCCUCCCGGAAGUGGUUCCCUAGGAACUCACACGGCGCAGGCAGAGCCUACAGCAAGCAGAUACAAAAGGGUCCACUUCAGGUCUUUCCCCAGCGCCGAGGCAGCUUCUGAAGUGUCCAGUUUUACUCCACUCACCCUGGGAUGGCUCUGCACGUCCUGGAAGAGGGUGCUGCCGCUGCGCUGGUUUUGCAUCUUCCAGAGACGCUGGGAACCCUUGCGCUUCGGCAACCGGCAGAAGUGUCCCAUGCCUUCCAGAGCCACGUCAUCAUCCUGGUGGAAAUAGAAGCUCAGAGAAAGCCUCAAAGCCUAAGAUAUUUACUACUCACCUUUUACGGAAAAAGUUUGCUGACCCCUGGUGGGCCUUUCUGAGAGUGAGUAACAAAGAAGGAUAAAGGUCUUCUGACUAUCCAUCCCACCUCCAAAAGUAACUAGAAUUAUCAGCUAAAAGUGGAGCAUACAGUUCAAAGAAGAAAAUGAGAAAUGAGGAUUUUCCCCAAGUCAUCAUCUUUUUCCAAUAUGAAGCUUUAUAUUACAUCACCUUUAUAUAUAACUAAUGAAAUUUUUUGGUGUAACAAGGAAAACUGAUGUGAAAUCAUAGAUGACAAUGCCAUAUGAUUAAAAAUUGAACAUAUCUGAUUACCUAGUCAUUUCAGCCAAGCAUGAACACACAUUUCUCCCAAGAUUUCUACUGAAGAACGCCAUGAAGCCCAGAAUUUCUUCACUGAGUUGUGUCAAGGUAUAACUGAUGUUGCUACUAUUAAAAUACUCAGGAAGACUCUAUUUGUAUACACUUGACUUUUGUACUUACAGGAAAUGCAAUUACAAUGAGGUUUAUGUGAUGCAUAUUUUUUAAAAACAAAUUAUCUUUGUUCUCAGUAGUUUGAGUGGUUUUCUCACCUCUGCAGACUAUAGAAUCUGUCAUCCAAAGAACCAUUGCAGUCAUUUGGAAUAAGAAGAAUAUGGACUAAAAGAUCCUAGAAUAGACUGUAAAAGACACUAGUAAACAACUGACCAAUAACCAUAAGACUUCACUCUGCCUUUAAAUGUAUCAGGCUUGUAGUAAAGUUCUGGGCUGGGAACUGGCUUUACCAAUCAUAACUCUUAUAUGGCCUGACUCAAGUCAUUUACUUUCCAUCAUAACUUUUAUGUGGCUUUACUCAUUUCAUUUCCUUUCUCUGAUUUUCAGUUUCCCAUCAGAGUUCUUGGGUGGUUCAAGUGAAGAAGCAUACAUUAUAUAACUUCCCAAACCACAAUGUGUGAUUUAAAUAUGAUAACAUGAGGUGGUGAUGGCAAUAAUCAUUUAUCCUGAAGAUGAUGCAGAGUGCCUAAACAAAAGAAAAAAAAACGUACUAAAACAAUAACCUUUUUUUGAUGGACAGGAGCACAAGAGUAUACAGAAAUGGUUUAUAAAAAUGAUUUAUAUGAAUAAGUGCCUUCUGUAUUUUGCUUGUGAUUUCUAAGACAUUAGUGGUUGACGUUUAUUCAUGUUGAAUGAUUAAUUAAUUUAUUUAAAGAAACUAAUUAAAAAAAAAACCUGGUCACACUUUGGGUUAUUGGGGAGACAUGCCUGAAGACAUUCCAGACUAUGGUGAAAGAAAUUUGCUCAAAUCUAAUCUUUGUCACUAAUUUUUGUGGUUUUGGCAAAUUAUUUUAAAUUCUAAAACCUUAAGUUUAUCAUCUAUACUAACUAAAGUAGUAGAUUUGUUAGGAUUAUUAACCAACAAAUGGAGAAAAAUGACUCAUAGCACUGGGCCCAAAGCAAGAUACUCAAACAAGUGUUGAGUCAUGUCUUUCCUUUCUUGGUUCUCAAAUUUAUCUUUAUUAAAUAUCAUUUUGGGUAUAGGCAUUUUUAUGGUGAUGCACAAUCUCAUGUGAGAAGAUAAUUCUUCCUUACUGUUAUGGACUGAAGUGUAUACUUCCCCAAAACACAAAUGUUGAAUUCUUCACCCCCAGUACCUCAGAAUGAGAUUUUAACUGGAAACAGGAUCUUUAUAGAGGUAGUUCAGUUAAAAUGAAGUCAUGAGGGUACCCUAAACCAAUAUGACUAGUGUCCUAAUAAGACAAAGAAAUUUGGACACCAGCACAGAAGGAAGACCAUGUGAGGACACAGGGAGAAGACAGCCAUCAAUAAGUCACAGAGAGAAACCUGGAACGUAUCUUUUCCUCAUAGUCAUCAGGAGAAACCAACCCUCCUGACACCUUGAUCUCAGACUUUUACCCUCCUGAACUGUGAGAAAAUACAUUUUUGUUCCUUGUGCCAUGCAUUCUGUGGUACUUUGUUAUGGCAGCUCUGGAAAACUAAUAUGCUCACCUGUGGGUACAUUAAAGAAAAUGUUUUAAUGGCAACAUCAAGUUUUGUAAGGCCUCACCUAGAGAUUGUCACAGACUCUGCCCUUAUCCUUGUCCUUCACCCUCAUAGUGCUGCUGCCUGGCAGACCAUGUCCCUCAGGUUCACACAACAGGAGGGAAGUGCAAGUGCACGGUCAAUCCCUAGGGCAAAGGAUAUAUGGUGGACACAAAUGGAGGUGGCUUUCUGCUCACAGAGAUGCUCCAGGGAUGCACCUGAGUAUGAGGAGGCCCAGAACUCAACUCAGGACAAUCAUUUUACCUACCCUCUGUCACAGUGAUUAGUUGAAGGGAUGUGUACCCCUUCACCCAAGCUGACAAGACAUUUUCAGAUAGGUCUUUACUUCUUUGGUUGUGGAGUUGUGAGAAUUUAGCCUAGGCCGGAAUCUCCAGUUGAGCUUUACACAGAGAUGGGUCAGUCUCAAAUGGAAGACAAGCAACGAGAGAUGGGGAGGCAGAGACACCUGCUUUCAGUCCUCGACAAAGUAAGCUCUAAUCCUGCUAUUCUUGGGUUGGUUUUCAUUGUAAGCAGGUAAGUUUUGACUGAUACAGGAUGUAAACAGCAUUUUUGGAAAGAGAAGAGAAAAACUAACAAAUAUUUUUUCCAAAAAAUAUGAAGAUGCUUUCUCCUAAUAUGAAUGGUAGUUAACAUUUACUUUU